rnacentral:lncRNA from 1 species
UCCACCCUCACAGGCACAUGAGACUGCAGAGCUUCAAAAUAAGAAGUAAAUCAGCUGGACAGUUGCCUCCUGCCUUCCUAAACAGGCAAACAUAUUAGAAACAGAAAAAGGGACCUACCUACCUCAUUCCUGGAGAAGGUGGGUUUGCUGGUGUGAAUGCCUGCCUCGUUUGCCUCACCAAAAUGAGUUAGAGCAUGCAGGAGAGAAGGAAGACGUUUGCAAGUAGAACCUACCAUGCUGUGGUGCAAGCAAGAGCCAACCAACACCAUCUGCUGCCAGUAGAAAAUCUCCAUGCCAGUCCUUACCCUUGGCACAAGGUAAAGUUGCAAUUGAGCCUGUGAGGUGGAAUCAACAGGAAAAAUCCAAUUCAUGCUCAAAGAUGGACACCUUUUAGCCAGCCAGUGAAUCCAACUGCUGCUGCAUGUCUGG